rnacentral:tRNA from 2 species
AGCGGGGUGGGGAAGCCUGGUCAUCCCGUUGGGCUCAUAACCCAAAGAUCGAAAGUUCAAGUCUUUCCCCCGCUA